CCCGCGCUCCUCCGGGCAGAGCGCGUGUGGCGGCCGAGCACAUGGGCCCGCGGGCCGGGCGGGCUCGGGGCGGCCGGGACGAGGAGGGGCGACGACGAGCUGCGAGCAAAGAUGUGCCCCGGGACCCCCGGCACCUUCCAGUGGAUUUCCUUGCGGAAAGGAUGUUGGCGGUCCCUGUGACCUGUGGAGACACGGCCAGAUCUGCCCUCCAGCCUGAUCUUUUGGCCAGAAGGAGAUUAAAAAGAUGCCCCUCAAGAUGGCUGUGCCUGUCAGCUGCAUGGAGCUUCGUUCAAGUAUUUUCUGAGCCUGAUGGAUUUACAGUGAUCUUCAGUGGUCUGGGGAAUAACGCUGGUGGAACCAUGCACUGGAAUGACACACGCCCGGCACAUUUCAGGAUACUAAAAGUGGUUUUAAGGGAGGCUGUGGCUGAAUGCCUCAUGGAUUCUUACAGCUUGGAUGUCCAUGGGGGACGAAGGACUGCAGCUGGCUGAGAGGGUUGAGAUCUCUGUUUACUUAGAUCUCUGCCAACUUCCUUUGGGUCUCCCUAUGGAAUGUAAGACCCCGACUCUUCCUGGUGAAGCAUCUGAUGCACGUUCCAUCCGGCGCUCAGCUGGGCUUGAGCUGACCAUACUCCCUGGAGCCUUCUCCCGAGGUGCGCGGGUGACCUUGGCACAUACAGCCAUCAUGAUGGUACUUUAAGUGGAGGCUGAAUCAUCUCCCCUUUGAGCUGCUUGGCACGUGGCUCCCUUGGUGUUCCCCUUUUACUGCCAGGACACUGAGAUUUGGAGAGAGUCUCACUCUGUGGUCCAGGCUGAAGUACAGUGGCAUGAUCCCAGGUCACUGCAACCCCCACCUCCCGGGUUCAAGUGAUCCUCCUGCCUCAGCCUCCCGAGUAGCUGGUAUUACAGGCGUGUGCCACAAAGCCUGGCUAAGUUUUGUAUUUUUAGUAGAGACGGGGUUUCACCAUGUUGGCCAGGUUGGUCUCGAACUCCUGACCUCAAGUGAUCCACUCACUUUGGCCUUUCAACGUGCUGGGAUUACAGGCGAGAGUCACCGCACCCGGACGACUCUGACAUUUUUGAAGAGUCCAGAAUCCUGUUACACCUGGGAUUUAGGCACUUUCAAUCUGAAAAAAUACAUAUCCUUUCAGCACUCUGGACGGACUUGAGAACUGUCCUUACGUGACCUAAAGCUGGAGUAUUUUGAGAUUGGAGAAUUAAGGCCUUCAGUGGGUUGAAUGAGGCCCAACCCACAUUGAAGAGGACCAUCUGCUUUACUCAGUCUCCUGGUUGAAGUGAUAAUCUCAUCUGGACAUACUCAGAAAUGCUGUUUAACCAGCUCUCUGGAAAUCCUGUGGCCCAGUCAAGUUGACACACAAAAUUAACCAUCACACUGCAGAGACACAGUCUAUCCCAAUACCUGUAUUUACUGGAGUGUGGGCACCCUGGCUUCAAGCUCACGAGAAACCAGAAGGAAGUCACUGUGCAUAGCCAUCCCCUAAGAAGAGGGCAUUCCUGCUCUUCCUUCUCCAUGGCUAGAGGAUCUACAUGAACUAUUUAGAUUUUUUCUACCUGGGAGAUUUAACUCCUCUCUCCUAUUUAUUUAUUUAUAUAUCAGCAUGGACUUGCAGGCCAACAGAGAUUUUGAGAAACACAUUGAAGGAUCUGUUAACACUUGAUAUACCCAAUAAAAGCAGUGGUUGUGCCAGUGCUGAUCUGUCUUGAUGUGAAUGUGAACAAUGGGAACCUGAGCUGAGCAGUUAAUGCUAGGGUGACAGAAACUGGACCUCUCCCAAGACAUGUGACAGAGUAAUACAGCAGCCAACUUCUUCGCCAAAUUAAAGUUUUACAAGAUUUAACCUGUCAUCAAGACCUGGGAUUUUGGUGAAGGACAGAAUAACGGGCUCCCAGAUUCACAAGCCCCACCAAGAGGAUCACCCCAGGAACGCUUGGAGGCUGAGGAGUUCACUGAGGCUACUGCAUCUUGAGACUCAGGAUGAAGACCCAGCUUGGGGCUGUCAAAGGUUUUUUGCAUGUCUGACACCCAUGACUCCACCUGGACCUUAUGGCUCCACCCAGAAGCAAUUCAGCCCAACAGGAGGACAGCUUCAACCCAUUACGAUUUCAUCUCUGCCCCAACCACUCAGCAGCAAGCACCUGUUACCUGUCCACCCCCACCCCUUCCCCCAAACUGCCUUUGAAAAAUCCCUAACCUAUGAGCUUUGAAUAAGAUGAGUACGAACUUCAUCGCCCACGUGGCGUGGCCGGCCUCGUGUCUAUUAAAUUCUUUUUCUACUACAA
rnacentral:lncRNA from 1 species